rnacentral:rRNA from 1 species
CGUCCCCGUUUGGGUUCGGAAUAACAGUUAGAAAUGACUGCUAAUACCGAAUGAUGUCGUAAGACCAAAGAUUUAUCGCCGAGGGAUGAGCCCGCGUAGGAUUAGCUAGUUGGUGUGGUAAAGGCGCACCAAGGCGACGAUCCUUAGCUGGUCUGAGAGGAUGAUCAGCCACACUGGGACUGAGACACGGCCCAGACUCCUACGGGAGGCAGCAGUGGGGAAUAUUGGACAAUGGGCGAAAGCCUGAUCCAGCAAUGCCGCGUGAGUGAUGAAGGCCUUAGGGUUGUAAAGCUCUUUUACCCGGGAUGAUAAUGACAGUACCGGGAGAAUAAGCUCCGGCUAACUCCGUG